GUGGGGAAUCUUCCGCAAUGGACGAAAGUCUGACGGAGCAACGCCACGUGAGUGAUGAAGGUCUUCGGAUUGUAAAGCUCUGUUAAUCGGGACGAAAGAGCCUAGUGUGAAUAAUGCUAGGAAGUGACGGUACCGGAAUAGAAAGCCACGGCUAACUACGUGCCAGCAGCCGCGGUAAUACGUAGGUGGCAAGCGUUGUCCGGAAUUAUUGGGCGUAAAGCGCGCGCAGGCGGAUCUGCCAGUCUGUCUUAAAAGUGCGGGGCUUAACCCCGUGAUGGGAUGGAAACUACAGAUCUAGAGUAUCGGAGAGGAAAGUGGAAUUCCGAGUGUAGCGGUGAAAUGCGUAGAUAUUAGGAAGAACACCAGUGGCGAAGGCGACUUUCUGGACGAAAACUGACGCUGAGGCGCGAAAGCCAGGGGAGCGAACGGGAUUAGAAACCCGAGUAGUCCC
rnacentral:rRNA from 1 species